rnacentral:rRNA from 1 species
GACGAACGCUGGCGGCGUGCCUAAUACAUGCAAGUCGAACGCAGUGGGGACGGGUGAGUAACACGUGGGUAACCUCCCAUCAGAGGGCAUAACACUUGGCAACUGGCGCUUAACCGCUACUGAUGGAUGGACUCGCGGUGCAUUAGCUAGUUGGUGGGGUAACGGCUCACCAAGGCUACGAGCCCUAGCCGGCCUGAGAGGAUGAUCGGCCACACUGGGACUGAGACACGGCCCAGACUCCUACGGGAGGCAGCAGUAGGGAAUAUUGGGCAAUGGACGAAAGUCUGACCGAGCAAUGCCGCGUGAAUGAAGAAGGUUUUCGGAUCGUAAAGCUCUGUUGUCAGAGAAGCGGUAUCUAACCAAGAAGCCCCGGCUAACUACGUGCCAGCAGCCGCGGUAAUAC